rnacentral:misc_RNA from 1 species
CAGCCGCGUAAUUCCAGCUCCAAUAGCGUAUAUUAAAGUUGUUGCAGUUAAAAAGCUCGUAGUUGAAUUUCGAGAUCAAGUUGUUGGUCGUGCCUCGGUACGUACUGGCAUUAUUGAUUUCUCCCUUCUGAAGAACCUUGAUGUCAUUAAUUUGGUGUCUUGGGGAAUCAGGACCGUUACUUUGAAAAAAUUAGAGUGUUUAAAGCAGGCUCACGCUUGAAUACAUUAGCAUGGAAUAAUGAAAUAGGACGUUUGAUUCUAUUUUGUUGGUUUCUAGGAUCGACGUAAUGAUUAAUAGGGAUAGUUGGGGGCAUUAGUAUUCAAUUGUCAGAGGUGAAAUUCUUGGAUUUAUUGAAGACUAACUACUGCGAAAGCAUUUGCCAAGGAUGUUUUCAUUAAUCAAGAACGAAAGUUAGGGGAUCGAAGACGAUCAGAUACCGUCGUAGUCUUAACCAUAAACUAUGCCGACUAGGGAUCGGAUGAUGUUAAUUUUUUAAUGACUCAUUCGGCGCCUUACG